GGGGACUUAGCUUAGUGUUAGAGCACUUGUCUAAUGUGUAAGGCCUUGGUUUUAGUCCCCA
rnacentral:tRNA from 1 species